GCCCUUUUAGCUCAGUCGGUAGAGCGCAUUCUUGGUAAGAAUGAGGUCUCGGGUCCAAGUCCCGAAAAGGGCUCCA
rnacentral:tRNA from 1 species